CAUCGACAAUGAAGUGAAACGUCUUCUACAGGAAUCUUAUGAUCGCGCAAAAAUAAUAUUAAAAACUCAUUCGAAAGAGCACAAACAGUUAGCAGAGGCUUUACUUAAAUAUGAAACUUUAGAUGCCGAAGAUAUUAAAGCAAUAGUAAAUGGGAAAA